AUUGAACGCUGGCGGCAUGCUUUACACAUGCAAGUCGAACGGUAACAGGGAGCUUGCUCCGCUGACGAGUGGCGAACGGGUGAGUAAUGCAUCGGAACGUACCCAGUCGUGGGGGAUAACGUAGCGAAAGUUACGCUAAUACCGCAUACGUCCUGAGGGAGAAAGCGGGGGACCGUAAGGCCUCGCGCGAUUGGAGCGGCCGAUGUCGGAUUAGCUAGUUGGUGGGGUAAAGGCCUACCAAGGCGACGAUCCGUAGCGGGUCUGAGAGGAUGAUCCGCCACACUGGGACUGAGACACGGCCCAGACUCCUACGGGAGGCAGCAGCUAAGAAUCUUCCUCAAUGGGGGAAACCCUGGAAGGAGCGACACUGCGUGCAGGAUGAAGGCCCUUUGGGUUGUAAACUGCUUUUGCAGGGGAAAAUAACCGAAUGGGAUGAUAGUACUCUGCGAAUAAGGUCCCGGCUAAACUACGUGCCAGCAGGCCGUCGGAAGCUGUAGUCGU
rnacentral:rRNA from 1 species